UACGUAGGGGGCAAGCGUUGUCCGGAAUCAUUGGGCGUAAAGCGCGUGUAGGCGGCUCGGUAAGUCUGCUCUGAAAGUCCAAGGCUCAACCUUGGGAUGCGGGUGGAUACUGCCGGGCUCGAGUCCGGAAGAGGAGAGUGGAAUUCCUGGUGUAGCGGUGAAAUGCGCAGAUAUCAGGAAGAACACCAAUGGCGAAGGCAGCUCUCUGGGACGUUACUGACGCUGAGACGCGAAAGCGUGGGGAGCAAACAGG
rnacentral:rRNA from 1 species